CUCAUCAUCUGUUGUAAGGUUUUACAGUUAACUAUAAUUUGUGUUAAUUGUUGUAAUUGUAACUUUUUUUAUAUUUUUAUCUCAAGUGGUUUAUCAUAAAGAAUACAUUUGUACAAUAAAUCAUUAUCAAAGAUUUUUUUUUUUUCUGUAGUCAAUACCAACUAUUAAAAAAACAACAAUUUUGCAAAAUAAUGCCAAAUUAAAAGACAUGUUAGGUAUCAUAACAUGGUUGAAUACAUACACCACUGAUAACCAGCUGACUGGAAAUUUUACAUGCACAGUUAUUUGGUCAAUGUGGUUAAAUAAAUAAAACCCCCAGAAGCCUGCCUCUCUUCAGAGUAUUUUGUCACGAGAUCCGGGUGCUUUGGUUCUCUCUUCACUGCUUUAAAAUCUGCCUGAAGAUGCCUGAAAAUAUAUAUCUCAAUUACUUAACAGACUCAAAACUGCCGUCAGUAGAUGAAGAUGAGAGUCACUGUUCUGACCGAAUUCAGAGGCUAUUCUCUGUUCUGCUCUUUCUGUCUCUGCUGGCCAAUGGGGGAUUUGCAUACCUGUGUUUAAAUAAGGUUUAAAAAAAAAAAUCCCAGACUUUUUUUAAAACCCAGACUGGUUUUAUUUGGACCCAACUGUAUAUGUAUUAAAUAUCAGCAGCAUUUGCAUCUCCAAUUUCAUAUUCACUACACCACAAUGCUUCACAGAUCACACCAAAAAUGCUAAUCAGCAUUGUGAACCAAAAAGAAACUGCUUCAAUUCAGGCUCUCAUGUAGAUUCUCAACCGAUAAUGAAAACGAACUCCAUGAAUAUUAAAAACCACAGUAUACCGAACUACUGUUCAGAUUUAAAAGAGAAGUGGGUCCAGGAGAAGGGCAGAUUCUAUGUUUUCUCCACUGAUACCAUGGACUGGAACAGCAGCAGAGAACGCUGUCAGGAUCUGGGAGGAGACCUGGUCAUCAUCAACAGCAUUGAGGAGCAGGAAUUUCUCUCUGAAAGAGUCAAUGACUACCACUGGAUUGGCCUGACCGACAGCCAGACAGAGGGGGUGUGGCUUUGGGUGGACAACACCCACUUAAAAAACAUCUUUUUAUGGGAGUCACCCCCAGAUGACUGGAAAGUUGAAAAUCCUUUGCAUGGUGAAGACUGUGUUAUCUUAAAGGGAGAGAAAUGGGGGGACGUUUCUUGUUUGAGGAAAGAGAAAAGGAUCUGUGAGAUUCCAUGCUCUCCAUCACCUCAGUGACAGAGAUCUAAAUUAAUAAUUAAAAGAGAUUACUUUUAUUGCUUGUAUUUAGAUGUAGUUAUCUUUAAACUUUAAACCUGUCGUCAUAAAGAGUGUGGAGUUGUAAUAAUUAUUGGUCAUGUGUAAUGCCAUACAUGUUAUGUUUGUAAAUAAAGUCAUAAAUUUACACCCUG